AAGUGCUUGACACAUGCUAAUCGAACGUCUAAUUUCAUUAGAAAAUAAUUUAGUUAGAAGUGGUGUACAGGUGAGUAAACGAUAUUAUAGCUACCUUGGAGUAAGGGAAAUUAAAAUCCCUUAUAUAAUACAAAAAAUAUGUAUAAAAAGAAAUUUAUUUUCGCUCCUAGAUGGAAAUUAAUAUCUCGGGCAGGUAGUAGUUAAGGUAAUGGCUUAACUAGCUUAUGUCCGUAGUCGAGACUGAGAGGUCGAUCGAUCACAUUGGGUCUGAAAAAACCCCAAUGCGUAUAGUACAGCAGUGAGGAAUAUUGGUCAAUGGCCUAACGGCUGAACCAGCAACUUGGGGGAAUGGAUAUAUAUUAGAGAUAAUAUAUAGUACCGACUCCGUCGGAUAAAGUUCUAGAUAGAACAAUGAUAAUGACAAUUUUCUAUCUAUAUGUCUUGACCAAAUCUUGUGCCAGCAGUCGCGGCAACACAAGGGAGACUAGUGUUAUUCAUCUUUAUUAGGUUUAAAGGGUACCUAAACGGCAUAUCAAGCCCCAAAAGGGAACUAAUAUACUAGAGUUUUAUGUGAGAGGCAAAUAUAGUACUAUAGGUGUAGAGAUAAAAUUCGUUGAUACCUAUAGGCACGGGUAACGGCGAAGGCAAUCCUCUAUGUAAAAACUGACGUUGAGGGACGAAGGCUUGGGUAGCGAAUAGGAUUAGAUACCCUAGUAGUCCAGGCAGACAAUUAUGAAUGUCAUAGAUUAGAAACAAAGAAGCAAGUAGGUUUGCUAAAGACUGUAUUAUUUAAGAGUCUUGUUAUUAAGUGUACAGUACCUACUUAACUAGUUAGUGAUAUUCACUAUUAAACUUCCUUAAACGAGAAUCUCCGCUAAGCACUCACCCUCUUUCAGGUUAGAGAGGCCUUGCCCUCCUCCCCCCUUGCCAGGGAAGGGGGGGGGGAGGGGGGAGAAGCAAGGGCCAAAGCGGGUCGAGUGGUUGGAGAAGGGAAGUUUAAGGAAGGUUUAUUACCUCUUCUAAAUUUUCACAGGUUUGUUUCUUCAAUAAAAGGUUUGCUUCUUAAGUAAAACCGAACCUCCCCAAGUGAUCUAUAAAUGAAAGUGUAAGCAUUCCACCUCAAGAGUAAUGCGGCAACGCAGGAACUGAAAUCAUUAGACCGUUUCUGAAACCAGUAGUGGAGU
rnacentral:rRNA from 1 species